AUUGAACGCUGGCGGCAUGCCUUACACAUGCAAGUCGAACGGCAGCACGGGUGCUUGCACCUGGUGGCGAGUGGCGAACGGGUGAGUAAUACAUCGGAACAUGUCCUGUAGUGGGGGAUAGCCCGGCGAAAGCCGGAUUAAUACCGCAUACGAUCUUCGGAUGAAAGCGGGGGCCCUUCGGGCCUCGCGCUAUAGGGUUGGCCGAUGGCUGAUUAGCUAGUUGGUGGGGUAAAGGCCUACCAAGGCGACGAUCAGUAGCUGGUCUGAGAGGACGACCAGCCACACUGGGACUGAGACACGGCCCAGACUCCUACGGGAGGCAGCAGUGGGGAAUUUUGGACAAUGGGCGAAAGCCUGAUCCAGCAAUGCCGCGUGUGUGAAGAAGGCCUUCGGGUUGUAAAGCACUUUUGUCCGGAAAGAAAUCCUUGGCCCUAAUACGGUCGGGGGAUGACGGUACCGGAAGAAUAAGCACCGGCUAACUACGUG
rnacentral:rRNA from 1 species